GAAGCAACACGCGUCAGUUAGCGUGAUUUUCCCGCUAGUUGUCUGAAUAUAUCGAAAGUGUGAUGUUAGCCGUGUUGCGUUUCGAAGGUCCCGCGUCUAAAAUCUGAAUAAAUAAGAUUUAAUACCCUGUUUUGGGUGUAUUUAGUGUGUAAACACAGGGUGAGUUUAGACCUCCGUGACAGAACAGGCUCCUUACUACACUAUGUCUCGUUUUGCAGUCUGGCUUGAACGUUAACGUUACCUCAGAUGUAGCGUGUUACCAUUUAGCGUUAACCUAACUACCUUAAAAAUGUUAAAAAUGAAGUUCCCGAAUAUUCUUCGUCAAACGGGGCGGGAUGUGCAGGCAUUAGUCGUUAGUUAAAGCCGUUAAAGUCUCUAGUUUCGCUCGCUUAGCAUCUGAGGACAACAGAAUGGGAAAAAACAUAACUAGCUUAACAGCUAACCUGGGUUAGUUAACCUAACGCUAGCUAACCCGAGUUUCUUGCUUGUCGGCUCUUUCAGCCAACCCUGGGGGCAUUGAACGAUGUAGAAGAAUGUAUUGUUUCUAGUAGGUUACAGAACCUGUUCAUGGAAGUGCUCUUAAGAGAAAGGUAAAUCUGGCUGCCAGGCCCCAGUGUGGCAUGGAGGAUGCGUGUCCACUCAGCUGCUGUUGCCUUGUUUUCACAAUCUCCUGGAAGUACGUUCUGAAGUGACCCAUGAAGCAAGUAAACCAGAAAACAUAAGUGUCCCAAAAUUCCAGCUGUCUGCAAAGCAUCUCUUCUGCCUGAAUGUCAGACAUAGCCUUCCUGCCUGCUGUGACUUCUGUGGUUUUCAUUAUGACAAACACAGAGUUCAUUUUCAUGUACAUGUCCAUGGUUGCAGCAUUAAACUUCCACUGUUAUCA